rnacentral:rRNA from 1 species
GUGGGGAAUCUUGCGCAAUGGGCGAAAGCCUGACGCAGCAACGCCGCGUGUGUGAUGAAGGUCUUCGGAUCGUAAAGCACUGUCGGGAGGGACGAAUAUGUUGCCGGAGAAUAUCCGGCGACGAUGACGGUACCUCCAAAGGAAGCACCGGCUAACUCUGUGCCAGCAGCCGCGGUAAUACAGAGGGUGCAAGCGUUGUUCGGAAUUAUUGGGCGUAAAGCGCGUGUAGGCGGCCGACCCAGUCGGGUGUGAAAGCCCUCGGCUUAACCGAGGAAGUGCGCCCGAAACUAGUCGGCUUGAGUACCGGAGAGGGUGACGGAAUUCCCGGUGUAGAGGUGAAAUUCGUAGAUAUCGGGAGGAACACCAGUGGCGAAAGCGGUCACCUGGACGGAUACUGACGCUGAGACGCGAAAGCGUGGGGAGCAAACAGGAUUAGAAACCCCUGUAGUCC